CACACACACACACACACACACACACACACACACACACACACACACACACACACUCAUUGACCUGCUCAUUGAUUUUCAUACUAAGCAUGCCCACAGUGCAUACACAGUAUACAGACACACACGUUGACAUACAUACAUGCACACACACCUAAUAGGAGGUUACAGCUACUAACUGUUACCUAUUGUGCUCUGUCAUGACAAUGACUUUGCAUUCCUGUGUUUUUAUAGCAAAGCCUCGUCUUCAAUAAUUUGUUUUAUUUGUUUGUUCCUCUUGGUGUUAUUAGUAAUAUUAAUGGGUUUAUUUUUUCAAUAUUUAAGUGAUUCCUGAAUUGUGUUUUGCAAGUGAAAACUCCUCUAUACUUGUAGUAUUGUCUUGAUGACACGACAACAGGAGGGUUAGGUUAUGACCCUUUUCAGACAUUAUGAAUUGUGUAAUGGAAUAUCCAUCUAAGCAUUGUUUUGCAAGCCCCUAUGUAUUGUGUUGUUGUCACGUUUCAAACGCACAGUCGCCUUGUGCGAUGCCAUAGGGCACUGUAGCCAACGAAGAAUCAACCCGCCAACUGAUAAGCUUUGUAGUGUUAGUGGGGUGUCAGGUCCUUUUAGGCCAGAUUACUAAUGACGAAGGGUCACCUUUAACUUUGGGACCACAGAAUCAUGCUAAUUAAAAAAUAAAUAAAUGUUGAAUGCAAGUGAAAUUAUGAAUCAUGUCUGUCAAAAAAGGAUGACUGUAUUUGAUAAUGAAAUUGAGUUUAAAAGCCUUAUGCCAAGCACAAUUAAAGGGCCGCCCUGGUAGUAAGUCUUGCUGUUUUUGGAAGUGGAAGUUUUAUCAGUUGAAUAAAUAUAUUUUAUGACAAUU